rnacentral:tRNA from 1 species
AGCAAAAUGGCUUGAGCGUUGGGCUGUGACUCUGGAUACUAGGGUUCAAAUCCCUGCUUGGCUA